AUACGUAGGGGGCGAGCGUUGUCCGGAAUGAUUGGGCGUAAAGGGCGCGUAGGCGGCCCGGUAAGUCUGGAGUGAAAGUCCUGCUUUCAAGGUGGGAAUUGCUUUGGAGACUGGUUGGCUUGAGUGCGGAAGAGGUAAGUGGAAUUCCCAGUGUAGCGGUGAAAUGCGUAGAGAUUGGGAGGAACACCAGUGGCGAAGGCGACUUACUGGGCCGUAACUGACGCUGAGGCGCGAAAGCGUGGGGAGCGAACAGGAUUAGAUACCCUGGUAGUCCACGCGGUAAACGAUGAAUGCUAGGUGUAGGGGGUAUCGACCCCUCCUGUGCCGGAGUGAACACAAUAAGCAUUCCGCCUGGGGAGUACGGCCGCAAGGUUGAAACUCAAAUGAAUUGACGGGG
rnacentral:rRNA from 1 species